rnacentral:rRNA from 1 species
GACGAACGCUGGCGGCGUGCCUAAUACAUGCAAGUCGAACGAACUCUGGUAUUGAUUGGUGCUUGCAUCAUGAUUUACAUUUGAGUGAGUGGCGAACUGGUGAGUAACACGUGGGAAACCUGCCCAGAAGCGGGGGAUAACACCUGGAAACAGAUGCUAAUACCGCAUAACAACUUGGACCGCAUGGUCCGAGUUUGAAAGAUGGCUUCGGCUAUCACUUUUGGAUGGUCCCGCGGCGUAUUAGCUAGAUGGUGGGGUAACGGCUCACCAUGGCAAUGAUACGUAGCCGACCUGAGAGGGUAAUCGGCCACAUUGGGACUGAGACACGGCCCAAACUCCUACGGGAGGCAGCAGUAGGGAAUCUUCCACAAUGGACGAAAGUCUGAUGGAGCAACGCCGCGUGAGUGAAGAAGGGUUUCGGCUCGUAAAACUCUGUUGUUAAAGAAGAACAUAUCUGAGAGUAACUGUUCAGGUAUUGACGGUAUUUAACCAGAAAGCCACGGCUAACUACGUGCCAGCAGCCGCGGUAAUACGUAGGUGGCAAGCGUUGUCCGGAUUUAUUGGGCGUAAAGCGAGCGCAGGCGGUUUUUUAAGUCUGAUGUGAAAGCCUUCGGCUCAACCGAAGAAGUGCAUCGGAAACUGGGAAACUUGAGUGCAGAAGAGGACAGUGGAACUCCAUGUGUAGCGGUGAAAUGCGUAGAUAUAUGGAAGAACACCAGUGGCGAAGGCGGCUGUCUGGUCUGUAACUGACGCUGAGGCUCGAAAGUAUGGGUAGCAAACAGGAUUAGAUACCCUGGUAGUCCAUACCGUAAACGAUGAAUGCUAAGUGUUGGAGGGUUUCCGCCCUUCAGUGCUGCAGCUAACGCAUUAAGCAUUCCGCCUGGGGAGUACGGCCGCAAGGCUGAAACUCAAAGGAAUUGACGGGGGCCCGCACAAGCGGUGGAGCAUGUGGUUUAAUUCGAAGCUACGCGAAGAACCUUACCAGGUCUUGACAUACUAUGCAAAUCUAAGAGAUUAGACGUUCCCUUCAGGGACAUGGAUACAGGUGGUGCAUGGUUGUCGUCAGCUCGUGUCGUGAGAUGUUGGGUUAAGUCCCGCAACGAGCGCAACCCUUAUUAUCAGUUGCCAGCAUUAAGUUGGGCACUCUGGUGAGACUGCCGGUGACAAACCGGAGGAAGGUGGGGAUGACGUCAAAUCAUCAUGCCCCUUAUGACCUGGGCUACACACGUGCUACAAUGGAUGGUACAACGAGUUGCGAACUCGCGAGAGUAAGCUAAUCUCUUAAAGCCAUUCUCAGUUCGGAUUGUAGGCUGCAACUCGCCUACAUGAAGUCGGAAUCGCUAGUAAUCGCGGAUCAGCAUGCCGCGGUGAAUACGUUCCCGGGCCUUGUACACACCGCCCGUCACACCAUGAGAGUUUGUAACACCCAAAGUCGGUGGGGUAACCUUUUAGGAACCAGCCGCCUAAGGUGGGACAGAUGAUUAGGGUG